rnacentral:rRNA from 1 species
AUUGAACGCUGGCGGCAGGCCUAACACAUGCAAGUCGAACGCGUGGCGGACGUGUGAGUAAUGUCUUGGAAUCUGCCUGCUGGCGGGGGAUAACUACUGGAAACGGUAGCUAAUACCGCAUACCAUCAGAUGUGCCCCGAUGGGAUUAGCUAGUUGGUGGGGUAACGGCUCACCAAGGCGACGAUCCCUAGCUGGUCUGAGAGGAUGACCACCCAAACUGGAACGGAGACCCGGUCCAGACUCCUACGUGAGGCAGCAGUGGGUAAUAUUGCACAAUGGGCGCAAGCAUGAUGCAGCCAUGCCGCGUGUAUGAAGAAGGCCUUCGGGUUGUAAAGUACUUUCAGCGGGGAGGCGUUACCCGAAGAAGAAGCACCGGCUAACUCCGUGCCAGCAGCCGCGGUAAUUG